rnacentral:rRNA from 1 species
CAAUAGCGUAUAUUUAAGUUGUUGCAGUUAAAAAGCUCGUAGUUGGAUUUCGGGUAGGAUUUGCCGGUCCGUCUUUGAGAUGUGUACUGGUAAGUCCUAUCUUCUUGUCGGGGACCAGCUCCUGGGCUUCACUGUCCGGGACUGGGAGCCGACGAAGUUACUUUGAGUAAAUUAGAGUGUUCAAAGCAAGCCUACGCUCUGAAUAUAUUAGCAUGGAAUAACACGAUAGGACUCUGGCUUAUCUUGUUGGUCUGUGAGACCAGAGUAAUGAUUAAGAGGGACAGUCGGGGACAUUCGUAUUUCAUUGUCAGAGGUGAAAUUCUUGGAUUUACGGAAGACGAACUACUGCGAAAGCAUUUACCAAGGAUGUUUUCAUUAA